AAGGUGGCCCGCAAAGUGCUC
rnacentral:misc_RNA from 1 species